rnacentral:rRNA from 1 species
CCUACGGGAGGCAGCAGGGAGGAAUAGUGGUCAAUGGGCGCGAGCCGGAACCAGCCAAGUCGCGGGAGGGAGGACGGCCCGACGGGUUGUAAACCUCUUUUGCCGGGGAGCAACGGGCGUCACGUGUGGCGCCACUGAGAGGACCCGGAGAAAAAGCAGCGGCUAACUCCGUGCCAGCAGCCGCGGUAAUACGGAGGAUGCGAGCGUUAUCCGGAUUGAUUGGGUUGAAAGGGUGCGUAGGCGGAUCGUUAAGUCAGUGGUCAAAUUGAGGGGCUCAACCCCUUCCCGCCAUUGAAACUGGCGCUCUUGAGUGGACGCGAAGUCUGCGGAAUGCGUGGUGUAGCGG